UACGUAGGGGGCAAGCGUUGUCCGGAAUCAUUGGGCGUAAAGGGCGCGUAGGCGGUCUGCUAAGCGUGUGGUGAAAGCUCGGGGCUCAACCCCGAGUCUGCCAUGCGAACUGGUGGACUUGAGCACUGUAGAGGCAGGUGGAAUUCCGGGUGUAGCGGUGGAAUGCGUAGAGAUCCGGAAGAACACCAGUGGCGAAGGCGGCCUGCUGGGCAGUUGCUGACGCUGAGGCGCGACAGCGUGGGGAGCAAACAGG
rnacentral:rRNA from 1 species